rnacentral:rRNA from 1 species
ACACUGAUUCCCACAGUAACGGCGAGUGAACAGGGAAAAGCUCAAAGUUGGAAGCUCCUGGCCCUAGGCUAGGCGCAUUGUAAACUAAAGCUGUAAAGUAGUUCGGUUGGCCUGGUAAAAAAGUUCCCUGGAAUGGGGCGACAUGGAGGGUGAAAUCCCCGUCUUUGGCCAGAGUUCAGCCGUGCGUUUGCUUUGCUGCGAAGAGUCAGGUUGUUUGGGAAUGCAGCCUAAAAUGGGAGGUAGACUUCUCCUAAAGCUAAAUAUUGACGAAAGACCGAUAGCGAACAAGUACCGUGAGGGAAAGAUGAAAAGCACUUUGAAAAGAGGGUCAAAAAGUACGUGAAAUUGCUGAAAGGGAACCGUAUGAAAUCAGCCUGAUGUGUGGGUAAUCAGCCUGGGCUUUGGCCUGGGUGCACUUGCCCAUGUAUUAGCCUGCGACAGUUUGACUUGGGGGAAAAAAGAUGGGGGAAUGUGGCCUCGGCUUCGGUCGAGGUGUUAUAGCCCCUGUCAAAAUACCUUGGGUUGGACUGAGGACUGCAGCGAGCCGUAAGGCAUGGGUCUCGGGCGCUCUGUCUUGGCGAAAAGUGAAUCUCUGCUUCGGGUGGUGCGCUUUUCUUCAGGGCAGACUCGCCUGUUUCUUCUUUCUCUCGCUUAGGUCGUAGGCAUAAUGAUUUUAUAUGACCCGUCUUGAAACA